AUCAUUCCUAUUAUGGCCUGGAUCAUUGCUUUGGUUCAAGUAGAGAUAUGACAUACUAGCAUAAGGAAUUCUCAUCAGAAAAACUAACAACACUGAGACCAAAACUCACAGUGAAGGACUGCUAACUCUUCUUGGACCAGACACAUAGGCAGAACCAAGCCCCUACAUCUCUUUAACUCUGCUUUGCUCUUUCAUCAUCACUUAACGGGGAAUUCAAGAAAACUGAAAACCUUCCCCAGAUGUUUCUAAAAUAAACACCUGGAUAUCAGCAUGACAACAGGGGGCGUUUCCAUGGUGUGGACAAAGUCAUC